rnacentral:tmRNA from 1 species
GGGGAUGUUAAGGAUUCGACAUUCAGCCCUCAGUAGUACUGCGUUCGUUAGGCGUACGUAUAAGCGCACUUUCUUUGUUUAACUGCAAACAAUAAUCAAGCUAUCGCUGCGUAAUUUAACAGCGCUCCUGUACUGAUGACACCGGAUAGUUAGUACAGUAUCAUAUGCCGGCUGUUGUUGAUGUUUCGAUUUGCAUACGACGUGACGGUGCUAUAAAGAGUUGUUUGGACACGGGUUCGAUUCCCGCCAUCUCCACUA